GAAAAAUACCUCAUCGACGGCCAAAAAUGCUUGAUGCGUGUUUAAUUUGGCCAAAAUAGGGAUUUCUUCCCCUUUGACAAGCUCAAUAUCAUUUUUGAACGAAAAAGGUAGUGAAAACUUCCAAUCCGGUGUGACUAGGGUACAUCCUAUAAAUCUUCAAAAAGUGCCAGACAUUUCAAGAUUGAUUUCAUGAGAUUUGGC
rnacentral:lncRNA from 1 species